GUCCCACGGAUCUUUGCCAACUGCCAUGGUUUCCUCUUCUAAAUCAAGAGCCACUUGUCAAGGAACGGGCCAGAAGGACGGCCGACCCCUUCUCCAAUAAGGAUCACCAUAACCCCGAGCUCCUACACCCCCGUUCCAAAGAACAGAAACGCAGCCGAUAAUCCCGAGCCCGUAUCAAUCACUUGGCCAGUUCCGUGCUGCGCAGCACUGCCCAGAAAAGUGAAAAAAAAAAUCAAGAAAAUUUAAGUCAUGCCACUGCCUGUGGGUGCAGAGUACAACAAGCAGCUGUGCUGGACAAAGACACAGUGAUGACGGGAGCUAAAGUGGUAGCCGCAGUCCCAGAGGAAAGACAGGCUCUACAGGAGGGCAAACUGGCUUCCUCUUCUGUCCCUGAAGCCCACGUCAGUACAUCGACACAGAAGCAGAGUGAUUACCAGAAUCCAGUGAAAUGGCUGAGCGCGGUGCUGUGCGCCUGUAACCUCAGCUACCGACGAAACGGAGACAGGAGGAGCAGCUGAACCCAAGAGUUUGGAGCCAAGCGGGACAACAUAGCAAGACCCCUCCUCAAUUCACUGUUUCAUAAAAUGCCCUUAGCAUAUUCCUAAAUUGCAAAGAGGCUGAACUAUCUAGCCGGCACCCUUUCCUAUCUUUCAGGUAAAUAAAUGGUCAGUGCUGUUUUCUGGAUAGUUAAUGCUACACAAAUGCUGUAUGGAUAAAAUAAGUAAGUAAUGAAACCCCUUUGUACGUGGAGAAAUAUCCAGCGCCUCAUUGCUUCAGUAAAGACUGUACGGCUUCUGGGUUUGCUGCGGUCCAACUCCCAGAGGGGGAGGGUGGCUGCUCUGAGAGGCUCACAGGAGCUACAUUUUCAUGUCCCUUGGAACUUUCCGGGGCAUCUGACUAUAAGCCUAUCCUGCGGUGCACACACUCAGACACACUCGCAAGCACACUUUCUGCUGAUUCCUG